AGGCUUUGAUCCUGGCUCAGGAUGAACGCUGGCGGCGUGCUUAACACAUGCAAGUCGAACGAACCUUCGGGUUAGUGGCGGACGGGUGAGUAACGCGUGAGAAUCUGCCCUCAGGAGGGGGAUAACGGCUGGAAACGGCCGCUAAUACCCCAUAUGCCGAGAGGUGAAACGAAUUUCGCCUGAGGAUGAGCUCGCGUCUGAUUAGCUAGUUGGUGGGGUAAAGGCUACCAAGGCGACGAUCAGUAGCUGGUCUGAGAGGAUGAUCAGCCACACUGGGACUGAGACACGGCCCAGACUCCUACGGGAGGCAGCAGUGGGGAAUUUUCCGCAAUGGGCGAAAGCCUGACGGAGCAACGCCGCGUGAGGGAUGAAGGCCUCUGGGCUGUAAACCUCUUUUCUCAAGGAAGAAGAUCUGACGGUACUUGAGGAAUAAGCCAUGGCUAUAUCCGUGC
rnacentral:rRNA from 1 species